UACUGAGCAACGGCAUUGUCAUGGGCUUUAGAAGGUCCUGGCUCAAUUCCCCCUAAUCUCACCAAGCUCAGAGCGAUGUCUUUAUCAUAAAACAUUAACGAAAAUGAAGAGGUGGCUGAAUACCAAGGAAAGGGGACAGAUCUACUUUGGCUGCAAAUAAAAACGCAUACUGGCAUUUAUCUAUAUUCUUUCUACAAGCUGGAGAAGAGAAAAUAAUACAGAAAAAAAAAGUAUUGCCGCAUUUUCUACACAGUCCAGAAAUUUGACCUGGUUUUCAUUCAGAUGCAUUAUCAACAGAAAAAAAAUACUUUACAAAUACCUACGGAACUUCCAAGAUAUUUUUAAGCGAAGUUACAGAAGAUACAUGAAAGAGGUUUGGAAGAAAAAGAGAAGCUGCAGUGAUUAAGGAAGCAGCAUAUAAAGAGCAAAACAAAAGUAUAAAACCUCAGAAACCCACUGUGGAGUAAGAGACAAGGGAAAAGAAAAAAAUGAAUGAAUCUUGAAAUAAAUAAGCUAUAUCAAAGCUUGAAACAGCUACAUAGUGAGGGUAAAAAGAUGCCUGUAUGAAAGUGUCAGUAUACAAAUAGCUGUUUCCAUAGCUGUGUCACCUCACCAAACUCCAAUUUUGAAUCAGAACAAGUGACACAUAGCAAAAAAAAAAAAAUAAAAAAAAAUGUAAUGACAAAAAUGGCAGCUAA